rnacentral:rRNA from 1 species
AGUGGGGAAUCUUGCGCAAUGGGCGAAAGCCUGACGCAGCAACGCCGCGUGCGGGAUGACGGCCUUCGGGUUGUAAACCGCUUUCAGUGGGGACGAAAUCAGACGGUACCCACAGAAGAAGCCCCGGCCAACUACGUGCCAGCAGCCGCGGUAACACGUAGGGGGCGAGCGUUGUCCGGAAUCAUUGGGCGUAAAGAGCUCGUAGGCGGCUCAGUAAGUCGGGUGUGAAACCUCCAGGCUCAACCUGGAGACGCCACUCGAUACUGCUGUGGCUAGAGUCCAGUAGGGGAGUGUGGAAUUCCCGGUGUAGCGGUGAAAUGCGCAGAUAUCGGGAGGAACACCAGCGGCGAAGGCGGCACUCUGGGCUGGUACUGACGCUGAGGAGCGAAAGCGUGGGUAGCAAA